rnacentral:rRNA from 1 species
AUUGAACGCUGGCGGCAGGCCUAACACAUGCAAGUCGAGCGGAUGAAGGGAGCUUGCUCCUGGAUUCAGCGGCGGACGGGUGAGUAAUGCCUAGGAAUCUGCCUGGUAGUGGGGAUAACGUCCGGAAACGGGCGCUAAUACCGCAUACGUCCUGAGGGAGAAAGUGGGGGAUCUUCGGACCUCACGCUAUCAGAUGAGCCUAGGUCGGAUUAGCUAGUUGGUGGGGUAAAGGCCUACCAAGGCGACGAUCCGUAACUGGUCUGAGAGGAUGAUCAGUCACACUGGAACUGAGACACGGUCCAGACUCCUACGGGAGGCAGCAGUGGGGAAUAUUGGACAAUGGGCGAAAGCCUGAUCCAGCCAUGCCGCGUGUGUGAAGAAGGUCUUCGGAUUGUAAAGCACUUUAAGUUGGGAGGAAGGGCAGUAAGUUAAUACCUUGCCGUUUUGACGUUACCAACAGAAUAAGCACCGGCUAACUUCGUG